rnacentral:rRNA from 1 species
GACAGAGGAUGCAAGCGUUAUCCGGAAUGAUUGGGCGUAAAGCGCGCGUAGGUGGCUUCGUAAGUCCGUUGUGAAAGUCAAAGGCUCAACCUUUGAAAGCCGAUGGAUACUGUGGAGCUAGAGUACGGAAGAGGCGAGUGGAAUUCCUGGUGUAGCGGUGGAAUGCGCAGAUAUCGGGAGGAACACCGGUGGCGAAGGCGGUUCUCUGGGCCUUACCUGACGCUGAGGAGCGAAAGCGUGGGGAGCGAACAGGAU